AGGCCCACAGUCGACGGCCUCCUCCACCUCCGCGCGCCGUGUCGUCUCAGCCCCACCCCCGCGCAAUGGGUAAUUUCCUCGCCUGCCUCCGCCUGUGCCUGCAAGUCGUCAACUGCCUCCGCCUGCGCGCGGCGGGCGGCAUGGGAGCAGAGAGUAUCCCACCUUCGCCAACGUCUCCGGGGCCCACACCCUCCUUUUCCUCGCUGACUCCACGCCCCCGCCGGCCCCGCCUUCGCCUCCUCCCGCUCACGGAGAUGAGUUCUACUGCUGCUCUGGCUCCUCGUCCUCCUACUCGGCCGCGUCGACCAGGUCGUGCGUCUCCGAAUCGGCGCAGCACGGCCGCCCCGUCGACCCUCUCUGCGUGCUCUCCGUUCAUCCGUUGUCGCUCCCCUCCACCUCAUCGAACCUAAGGUGCUCUGCUCGCCGAGGCCACAAGCGCGUUGUUCCAUACCAAGGCAGAGAAAAGACGGAAGGGCGUGUGGAUCGAGAUCAACAACGACGGCGACGACAACCAGAGCGCGAGGAGCAGCACCGUCUCCACCGCCCCACCCCGCACGCCGCCAUUGCCAGGGCUCCCCCACCCCACCCCCGCACGCCAUGACCUCCACAACCCCACCCCCGCGCGCCAUCUCGCCAGGGCUCCCCCACCCCCGCGCGCCGUCUCUCCUGCACCAGCUCUCCCUGCAAUCCCUCCAGCUCUCCCUGUCGUGUCGCCUCCACAGCGCCCACCGAGGUCCCGCUAGUGUGGCCCCCGACCUCGUCGCUCAGUGCUGGCGCGAGAUCGAGGCCAUCGGCCCCACCACACCUCGAUUCGCCAACACCGCCGACCCGGGCGCCUCGCCCUCUGCCUUCGACUCCAACACCGGCUCGUCGCUCGGCCACAUCGGGUGCCUAUGCUCGAUGUAUCGCGCUGCCUCUCUGUCCUCAUUCGUUGCGUCCGUCCUCGGCUUCCUCUUCCGCCUUCCCCGCGAUGCCUCCCCGCGUCAUCGCCCACCAGCAUCAUCGCGCAGGCCUCGCUUGAGACAGACAUGGCAGUGGAUUGGGUGUUUGGUUCUCUUUGCAGGCGAGUCAUCGUCGUUGCCUCCCCUUUGUCCUCUCCCAGCGCCAGAGAUUAGUCGCCUCUUUUUCUUGUGUAACUGAAAAUUUGGGGUAGAAGAGGCGCGUUUAGUUUUCUCAGACAGUAUGACAGUGGAUUGGGUGUUUGGCUUCUCUUUGCAGUAGCAAUUGGAGGCGAACAGGAAGACACUGUAGAGGCACUCUCGCGCGCUGUUCAACGUAGUGGCAGCAGAGGUGGCAUCAAGGGGCACCGAUGGCGGCAACAUGCUAUCGCAGCGUGUGGCGGAGAGACAGAGGUCAGACCUGGCAAACAGGACAGGGAAGGGGACGUGAUCUCCAUGCAAGAGAACAUGUCUGCCAGGACACUCACGCUCUCUAGCUCCACGCAGCAGACAAUUGUGCGGUUCGUUAAGCUACCAUUGGUUGACAAGAUCACCGCUUGGAUCUUCCUGGAAAAGUUAUUGGUAUUCUUGUGUUCAUAUGUCUUGCAAUCGGCUGACCAUGGGCACUAUUUUGUGAUAUUCAUGGCCAUUCUAAGGAGAUUGAACUUUAUGCAUCAUGGGUCGUGCAAGUACACUUGAGUUUAUUUGCUUGAUUUAUUCGGCGAGUACUCAUAUGCAGGCACCGUUGUAGAUAUAACGUCAUAGAAUACCUAUUGCAUCCUUUUUAUCCUUUUGAUAUUUUACUAUCUUUUAAAUAACACAACGUCGAAACCAAAGAAUGGUCGACGAUUAGUUGGUUGUUGUUAGAAGGAUAUACUAUGAUAUAGUUGGAAACGAGGCUCUGAUAGACUGAUACACAGUGAUAUUGAUGAAGAAAUUCUAGAUCCAGAGGAAUAGAAACACUUUUUCACAAAGGGAGAAGAUCAUUUGGUAUGGUAGUAUCCUCAUUGAAAAUAAUAUGAAAAAAUAAAAAAAUAAAUAGAUUAUUCAUUGAGGCAAACCUAUGAUCAAUCAUACAUCAGAGGUUGGUCUUCUCCUUUGUAGCGCUACAGUGCGACGACGGCCAGGGCCAAGGUGCUGAAGGAGGUGAGGAACAUCGCAGUAACGAUCUCCAUGGAGAAGGGUGCGAUGGCCAGAGGUAGUGGGCAUCACCAGCACGGUGGCCACAAGCACGAUGGCUAGCAGCAACAGCAACUGCUGCUUCAACGACAAGCGUGCACGAGCUCUAAGCAGACUCAAGCGAUCCUAUCAAGUAGUUCAUUGUAUUUCACCAUUCAUUUUUCUUUUUUACGUCCAUGUGAGAUGAGGUUGUUUGUUCGGCGAGUGGAGCGGUGGGAAAGCCACAGAGGUAUACGAGAUUUAUGUUAAUCCCCCACCCCCAAAGAGUCUUCCCUAUCCAUUUCACUGAAAUUUGGCGACGCUUAGAUAUCGUGUCAUCAUAUUGGGACGCUUUUAUUGCACACAACGUGUGAUCUUAUUUCUCUUGGCUCUGUGGCUGUGGAUUUCGUUUCUGCUUUUGGGUAAAUCAGAGAUAUGUGUGGGCACAUGAAUGAGUUACAUUAUUAUUCACCUGAUUCCACUUUAGCUGAAAACAUUUUACUAUGUACAGGUAAAAAGGAAAACUUGAUGCUGCCAGGAUCGUCCAUCAAGAAGGUACCAUGGUGGGGUGGUGGAGGUGAUAUGUCGUUGGAUUAAAGGAGUUAUCUAGACUUGCAGCAGUAAGUAUUCAGGAGCAGGGCUUGACACACGAACAUUUGAUAUACAACCUUGUUGGUGGCUGUUCUCAAGAUGUCUUCAAGCUCGAAUAUAAUGUUGCAUUGUGCACCAGUAUACAAUCACCAGAUCAAGAUGCUCAUCCAAUUUGACUAAGACGAGUGGAAGUGGGGGACCAUGUCAAGAAAGGGCGUGUGCAUGAGACCAUUGUGCAGCCUAUUAAGGUGCUUCAGUUUCUUCUACAUCUUGUGACCAAUCAUCCAUCAUCAGUUGUGCAGCAUGCUACUCUGCUAAACUUCGGCUAACCUUAAUUUUGAGAGCGCAUACAGAGCAAAAAUGCAGGUUUUUCGCUUGGACAUUGCUAGACCAAAAGAUUUUAACAGCUAACAACUUGAUUAAAAGGGGAUGGCCAAACGAUCUCAGAAGCUGGCAGGGAGGUGAAAGAGAUUGAGGAGCUAGAGGAGAAGGCGUCAUUUUUCAGAAGCUGGCACGUCUCAUGGAGGUGAAACAUGAUUUCAUGGACUUCUUGCAGGGGCUGAGCAAGGAAGAGAUGGAGUUGUUGGAUCAACUGAACAUGGAAGCGACUGAGGAGGAUGUUGCAACAUUCAUCUAGGUAAGAGUUUGUUAGGGCCUUAGUUUGUAUGGAGUUUUUUCUGUAUUACAUGCUAUAUUGUUGUAUUGAUUCUACAUGUUGCAACACACAUCCCCUCAUGGUUUAGUGAAGUUCCAUGCAAGUUCUAUCUUGAGCACUCAAAAUUAUGACAUAUCUAUCUAUUUUGUAUGAUCUUUAUUGCGGUUCAAACAAGAUGAGUAUUAAAAUCGAUGCUUCUCAAAUAUUUUCUUCUAGAGAAAAUUAAAUUACAGUUGUAAGUGGUAUCAAUGGAUGGAAUACAAACUAAAGCUUUAGACAUUUUGAAAGCAAAUAGCACUUGAUGGUUCUGCAUACCAGUCAUCCAUAUAUAUAACCUAGGCAAGCUGGAAAGUGAAAUUAAACUGUAUGACAUAUGCUCAACUAUCUAUAGGCAAAGAUACAUAUAAAGAGUGUCGGCACUCAGUAGUCUUACGUUACAUGUAUUCUUGCCUUAUGAGCAUAAACAUCGGGAAAUAGUUAAAACUUACUGCUACACCAAUUACUCAUACCAGCAAACGAAAAGAAAAUAAUAAGCAGGAGCAAAAUAGAGAACACUACACUUGUUGCUCCUCACCAAAAGGGGAAAUAGCACCUUUGCUUGUUUGGCAUACAUGAGCUAUAUGAGGGUGGCGAUCAGAUUUGCUUAUGGUUGUUGGCCUACUAGGAUGGUUGUAUGGCCAGUCACUGACUGGAAAGCUGCAACGGACUCAAGCUUCUCCCAGGUAAUUUUAUGCUUCGCUUCUAGCGACACGUGUUUUUCUUCUUUGUCCUUGUACUUGGCCAGGCAUGACGAGAAGAGAUCAUCGUCCAUCUUAGACAACAUUUUCUUGACAUUUACCGUCAGAUUCAGGACUUUUGUACAGAAUUAAAAUGAUACUGCACAGUACUGAUUAUGGAACCUAUAUGUAUGCUAAUUGAAAAAAGAUACUUUCCUACUGUGGUUCACACUUUUUUUUGUCUUGCUUGAGUUUUAUUGGAUGGAUACAUAGAGUAAAGAAAUGGAUAGUAUUUUGUGAAUUUUAAUUGACAUACAUAUAGGUUCCAUAAAGACAGGUGAUUUUAGCUUGAAGAAAUAUUAUUGUUGGAUUGUGAGCCGCAUAUCUGACUUUAGAAGAGGAAACCAUUAUUCUUAGAAGUUAGUCUGUUCUUGAUCAGAGAUUACAAAAAAAUAUGCUUGUGUUGACAGCAACUCCUCUAGGCCCAAGAAAAAAAUGGGUGAACCACCAUAAUUCCUGACAUACGUGAGUACACUUUCUUUACUGAGAAGGUUCCAUUACCCCUAAUGUAGGUCCAAGCAUCAUUAUUUUACUGUUCAAUGUAGAGAACUUAUUCUGCCAUUAAGCUCCUGGUAUGUUUUAGAGUGGAAGAAAUCAAUUGUUAUGAAUGUUAAAUCGUUCCAUAACCAUUUUGAUAGUAAUGCUUCUUCUUUUUGUGAUUUAGUUCUUACAGGUGAUUGUAUUUGUAGCCUACAUUUUGUUUUGGGGUCUAUAGUGGUUUAUACCAGUACCUUUUCAUGUGCUCAGGAAUGAUCUUGUGGGAAUAAAGCUUCUCACAGGUUUUAAUGCAUGACUCAUCACGUUGUGUUGAAUGACGGGAGUGUUGAAUGACAGUAAUGUCACCUGUAAGAACACUUACUAGGAGGCAAGAAAGGUGGCAAGGGAUAAAUUGAAGAAGAAAGUCGCUACAUACAAAAUGGGACUUGUUGACAAACUCAAAGCUAAGCUCCAUGGCUAGGGACAUGUGCACAUUGGUGAGAAUGGAAGCAUUCACUGCACUUGGUAAAAUUCAACGAGUUUCUGAGGGUGUUCUGCUACAAUCGCUAGAAAAGAAGGUCAUGAAAACUGACAGGAUGGGUGUUUCUAUCAUCAACGGACAAAAAUUACCUCCUAAACUAAAAAUUCCCUGUGCUGCUGGGAUUUUUUCCCAUGGAGUUGAAGAUGAAUUUACGAGGUGAGAAGAACUGCCUGCAAAUCAUUAGGAGCGCUGGCAAAGUUUUCUACUCAGUACACAGAGAAGGCCUUGGACUUGUUGAUGGACAUGAUGAAUGAUGAUACAGAAGCAAUAUGGCUGCAGGCUCUAGAAGCACUAUUUCGUAUGGCAACAUAUGGAUGUUUGAGUGUGCAGGAGAAGCACAUGCAUAUGUUACCGGGAAAGCUCUAGCUGAACCACAGUAGGAAAGUAUCUUUUUUCAAUUGAAUGGAGAGCUGGAUGUUGACCCAGAUGAUUUUAGCUUGGAGAAAUAUUUAGCUGCAAAAACUCUUGUUUCUUCAAGGUCCUUCCAAAUAGAUAACUAUCAUGGAUCUGGAAUGGUUCCAUUGGCUGACCUAUGUGUUAGAAGACGACCGUAUCCUGUGUGACUGGCAAGAUUUACCAUUUAAAAACUAUGCCCCCCUGGAAAAUGAUGUUAAUGUCCACCCAGUAACUUUUUGUUUUGUUUCCUGUCAUCUCAAGAUCAAAGAUCCUAAGAAACAGUUCCUGGUUUAUGGGUCUAGCAGAGCCAGAAGUUGUUGUAACUAUCCAGUAUCGUACAACUGACCUGUUACCUAGGGGGAAACACUGCAUGAGUGUUGUUGGUAUCCUUGUCUGGAGAAGGAGAGAGUGAUUCUCCUGGAGGUGGAGGAGGAUGAAGUGGUGAUCGACUUCAAGCCAACUCCAAGUGCCAUGUCGACCUCUGCCUCCGCUCCUUGCACACAUCCCUCCCAGUCGUCUUCAAGGUCCAGACCUCCUCCCCGCUCAAGUUCCUCGUCAGCACGUUGCGCGGUGCUGUGUCGCCGCUUUCCUCGGUGUCCAUACGCGUGUGCGAGGCAUCCCGCUUCAUCUCUAAUCACCCCUUUAUGUGCACAUCGUCCAUAUGUGACCCCCUUCCCUUUCUCCAUAUAAUUUCAACAAAUUUUACUCUUUUGGGCUCCGUGUAAUUUCAUUGGUAAAAUCUCUACUACUUAUUAAUGCUGCAAAGUUAACAUGUCAUUCCGUGUUAUAUAUAUA